AGAGUUUGAUCCUGGCUCAGAUUGAACGCUGGCGGCAUGCCUUACACAUGCAAGUCGAACGGCAGCACGGGAGCAAUCCUGGUGGCGAGUGGCGAACGGGUGAGUAAUGUAUCGGAACGUACCUUUCAGUGGGGGAUAACGUAGCGAAAGUUACGCUAAUACCGCAUAUUCUGUGAGCAGGAAAGCAGGGGAUCGCAAGACCUUGCGCUGAUUGAGCGGCCGAUAUCAGAUUAGCUAGUUGGUGAGGUAAAGGCUCACCAAGGCGACGAUCUGUAGCGGGUCUGAGAGGAUGAUCCGCCACACUGGAACUGAGACACGGUCCAGACUCCUACGGGAGGCAGCAGUGGGGAAUUUUGGACAAUGGGGGCAACCCUG
rnacentral:rRNA from 1 species